rnacentral:misc_RNA from 1 species
UUGUUCAAGGCCGCCUGCCUG